UACGGAGGGUGCGAGCGUUGUUCAGAAUCACUGGGCGUAAAGCGCGUGUAGGCGGCCUCCUCAGUCUGAUGUGAAAGCCCGGGGCUCACCCCCGGAAGUGCAUUGGAUACUGGGAGGCUGGAGUACCGGAGAGGAGGGAGGAAUUCCUGGUGUAGCGGUGAAAUGCGUAGAUAUCAGGAGGAACACCGGUGGCGAAGGCGGCCCUCUGGACGGAUACUGACGCUGAGACGCGACAGCGUGGGGAGCAAACAGG
rnacentral:rRNA from 1 species